CUGAAACUCACAUUUAACUGGGAUUUUAUAUUUUACUAGAAUCACACUGGGGGAGAUAGGUGAAGAAGGCUAAGAAAGUCCAGGGCAGAAAGAGGAGGAAAGGACUUAAAAAAAAAUUUUUUUUUUUGUUCCUUUCAGGUUGGAAAAAGAAACAUAAGCAGUGUCUGCUAUUGCUGUUCAUUGCUGUGAUCCCUCAGGGUUCUGGAAUUGUCUGCUUCCUGAAGAGCCUGCCGCUCACUGGCUCAAGCUGUCCCGAUGCCCAAGGGGAUGUCCCAGGUUUGCAGAUGUGCUGUUAGCAUCUUCCCUGGAAAUCACAGAACUUCAGUUUGAUGUUUUUAGGUAUCAAAGGAAGGUCUCCAGGAACCCUGCAACUAAAGACUUUAAUGAGGACCAUGCCCGAGAAAUCCCGGCUGCCAAAGACAUGAUGAUGAUUUAUGUCGCUCACUCACUCCCUAACAGCAAGAGGACUAUUUGUAAAAAUAAAAAAGCUGCUCAUAUGGAAUUAAACAAGAGCAUAGCUGCUUCCUUCCAGACCCUGGGAGCUUAACAAAGAGCAUCCACACUCCGCGGCCAGCAGCACAUGGCCCGGGGCCGGCCGUCUUCCUGUCACACGGCGCUCAGACAGCCGCGCACGCUCCCUGUCGGCGGACCCCAACAGGCACAUGCCCAGGGAAGCACAAACUCGGGUCGGACACAAAAGGGUCUACACUGACCUCAGGCCUCAGCUGAGCCACCGAAGGGCUCUGAGCAUCAAGAGGUGGGCAGAGGCGCAGGCCGCUGCCGUGGUCGCCCCCAGGGCCUGGCCGCAAGAUGGUUAGCGCCCCUCUUUGUUCUUGGUGUCGGACCGCUGAGCGACCCAUGGGUGCCACCUGGGUUCUGGCCAGCUCGCCAAAGGGGGAAGAGAUACAUUCUUAUGCCUCCCUUUCCUCAUGUUAGCUGAGGCCACCGCAGAGUGUUGAUAGCAGUAAGGAGACGAAGCGUAGGACACGUGGAACGCAACGCUGACACCUGCUGAUGAUUAUUAUCGACCUGUAUUGCGGCUGCCACCAAUGGGGCCGCUCAGACCUCCUGCUGCAGUGACAGUACUUGACCGAGGGACUGGUCUAUGUUCUUGCAGGUCACGAUCGGUCAGGUGCACCACAAAAGAGACCCCAGGGGAGACACAAGAAAACAGUGUGUUAUACUCACCGGACCUAGACAGGGGGUUACUGUAGGGCAUGCAAGGCCACGGUGGGGGGUGGGGGGUGGGGGGUGGGGGAAGACCCCGGUUCUGGUCAAGUGACAGAAGACAGGAAAGCCUACACCAUGACCUUCGUUGGGGUUUCUGCAAGCAAGGCAGGGCAGAGGAAACAGUUUAGGAUUUUGACUAGUAAGAAUAAUUUCGGUGGAUUCUGGGCCGUAGCGUGGGCUCUAAUUGCCUCCGACCUGGUCCUGGCAUAAUUAAGGCAGGGGAUUAUUGCCUCCUGGGCCGUUCAGGCCAGAGAAAGAGCUUCGUGCUCUGGAUUGGUUAGCUUGCACAUCGGAGGCGUGCUCCUGGCUGAGGUCUUUGUUAUCCCAGAACUGGCCAGACCCUGCAGGAGCAGUCCCUCUCCAGCCAGAAAAGGUUUUUUUAAAAUGUCAAAACGUUAUAAAAUAUGCAAAAUAAAAAAAAAAAAACUAUGUACA
ensembl:lncRNA